rnacentral:lncRNA from 1 species
AAAUGAGAAAUACACACUUUAGGACGUGAAAUAUGGCGAGGAAAACAGAAAAAGGUGGAAAAUUUAGAAAUGUCCACUGUAGGACAUGGAAUAUGGCAAGAAAACUGAAAAUCAUGGAAAAUGAGAAACAUCCACUUGACGACUUGAAAAAUGAUGAAAUCACUAAAAACGUGAAAAAUGAGAAAUGCACACUGUAGGACCUGGAAUAUGGCAAGAAAACUGAAAAUCACGGAAAAUGAGAAAUACACACUUUAGGACGUGAAAUAUGGCGAGGAAAACAGAAAAAGGUGGAAAAUUUAGAAAUGUCCACUGUAGGACAUGGAAUAUGGCAAGAAAACUGAAAAUCAUGGAAAAUGAGAAACAUCCACUUGACGACUUGAAAAAUGACGAAAUCACUGAAAAACGUGAAAAAUGAGAAAUGCACACUGUAGGACCUGGAAUAUGGCAAGAAAACUGAAAAUCACGGAAAAUGAGAAAUACACACUUUAGGAUGUGAAAUAUGGCGAGGAAAACAGAAAAAGGUGGAAAAUUUAGAAAUGUCCACUGUAGGACAUGAAAUAUGGCAAGAAAACUGAAAAUCAUGGAAAAUGAGAAACAUCCACUUGACGACUUGAAAAAUGACGAAAUCACUGAAAAACGUGAAAAAUGAGAAAUGCACACUGUAGGACCUGGAAUAUGGCAAGAAAACUGAAAAUCACGGAAAAUGAGAAAUACACACUUUAGGAUGUGAAAUAUGGCGAGGGAAAACUGAAAAAGGUGGAAAAUUUAGAAAUUUCCACUGUAGGACAUGGAAUAUGGCAAGAAAACUGAAAAUCAUGGAAAAUGAGAAACAUCCACUUGACGACUUGAAAAAUGACGAAAUCACUGAAAAACGUGAAAAAUGAGAAAUGCACACUGUAGGACCUGGAAUAUGGCAAGAAAACUGAAAAUCACGGAAAAUGAGAAAUACACACUUUAGGACGUGAAAUAUGGCGAGGAAAACAGAAAAAGGUGGAAAAUUUAGAAAUGUCCACUGUAGGACAUGGAAUAUGGCAAGAAAACUGAAAAUCAUGGAAAAUGAGAAACAUCCACUUGACGACUUGAAAAAUGACGAAAUCACUGAAAAACGUGAAAAAAUGAGAAAUGCACACUGUAGGACCUGGAAUAUGGCGAGAAAACUGAAAAUCACAGAAAAUGAGAAAUACACACUUUAGGACCUGAAAUAUGGCAAGGAAAACUGAAAAAGGUGGAAAAUUUAGAAAUUUCCACUGUAGGACAUGGAAUAUGGCAAGAAAACUGAAAAUCAUGGAAAAUGAGAAACAUCCACUUGACGACUUGAAAAAUGACGAAAUCACUGAAAAACGUGAAAAAUGAGAAAUGCACACUGUAGGACCUGGAAUAUGGCGAGAAAACUGAAAAUCACGGAAAAUGAGAAAUACACACUUUAGGACGUGAAAUAUGGCGAGGAAAACUGAAAAAGUUGGAAAAUUUAGAAAUGUCCAUUGUAGGACAUGGAAUAUGGCAAGAAAACUGAAAAUCAUGGAAAAUGAGAAACAUCCACUUGACGACUUGAAAAAUGACGAAAUCACUGAAAAACGUGAAAAAUGAGAAAUGCACACUGUAGGACCUGGAAUAUGGCAAGAAAACUGAAAAUCACGGAAAAUGAGAAAUACACACUUUAGGAUGUGAAAUAUGGCGAGGAAAACUGAAAAAGGUGGAAAAUUUAGAAAUGUCCACUGUAGGACAUGGAAUAUGGCAAGAAAACUGAAAAUCAAGGAAAAUGAGAAACAUCCACUUGACAACUUGAAAAAUGACAAAAUCACUGAAAAACGUGAAAAAUGAGAAAUGCACACUGUAGGACCUGGAAUAUGGCGAGAAAACUGAAAAUCACUGAAAAUGAGAAAUACACACUUUAGGACAUGAAAUAUGGCGAGGAAAACUGAAAAAGGUGGAAAAUUUAGAAAUGUCCACUGUAGGACAUGGAAUAUGGCAAGAAAACUGAAAAUCAUGGAAAAUGAGAAACAUCCACUUGACGACUUG